rnacentral:rRNA from 1 species
CCAGCACAGGUGGUGCACGGCCGUCGUCAGCUCGUGCCGUGAGGUGUUGGGUUAAGUCCCGCAACGAGCGCAACCCCUGCCCCUAGUUGCCAGCGGUUAGGCCGGGCACUCUAGGGGGACCGCCGCCGACGAGGCGGAGGAAGGGGGGGAUGACGUCAGGUAUCGUGCCCCUUAUGUCCUGGGCGACACACGCGCUACAAUGGGACGGACAGCGGGGAGCGAGGCAGCGAUGCUGAGCAAAUCCCUGAAACCGUUCCUCAGUUCGGAUUGCAGGCUGCAACCCGCCUGCAUGAAGCCGGAAUCGCUAGUAAUCGCGGAUCAGCCAUGCCGCGGUGAAUACGUUCCGGGCA